GAAAGAGUAAUGCAAUCAGAAUUGAUGCAAUUUGAAAGAGAAGAUGCAGAAAAACGGCUUCGUCUACCUGAAAAAUCCGAAGAAGAUUUAUCAAUAGUUGAGGCGAAACCGUCAACACCCGCAGAUAAAGUAAUGGAUGUGGUGAGAGCGGUAGAGACCUUAGCUCAUGGCCCGGAAGCGCUGGUGCCGCCGAAAAGCCCUGGCGGGCAAAACGCGGAGUUAAAAACGACCACAAUCGUCAUGAGCAAACACACAUUAGCCACUCAAAACUCAACGGAUGAACAUCAAAACGAUUCGAUUAAAUCGAAAGAAGAAAAAGAAGAUUUAGAUUUGAAUCGAGCAUCGUUUAAUUUAAGCGAUAUCCCACCACCAAUCGAGGAUUUUCCUGUGUUUGAUUUUGUGGUUCCUCCCCCGAUUAUUGAAGAACCCAUCGAAAUAAAUUCGCUUAUUGUGCCUCCACCCCCACCCCCAAUCGAUUUUGCAUUAAGUGACGAAGAAGUAAUAGAUAAAGAAGAGGAGGAAGUAAAAAAGUUGGAAGAAAUAAUCGAUGAUAUUCAACUCAUCAAUAAAACCCCAUCCUUCGAUAAAGAAAUUGAAGAAUUUGUUGAAAAAUUUAAUAAAAGUGAUGCCUCAUCCCUUAUUAUAACAGAAAAAAGUUUAGAUAUUUCCGUAGAGAAUGGAGAAGAAGAAGUUAUUGAAGAAAUUGAGAAAAAAGAUUCAAAUUUAAAUGAUACUUUGAAUCGAUUCCGAAAAAAAAGUCAACCCGAUUUAAAAUUAGAAACUUCAUCUCCAAAAACUUUAGACCCAAACGAUGAUAUCCCACCACCUUUACCAUUAACCCCACCUCCUACAAUUAUUGAAGAACCAAAAUUGGAUGUUUUAAAAAUUCAUUCGGAAUCGACGGUUCAAAAAACGGAUUCGUUCGCGGAUAAAUUAUUUAAAAAAUACGACGAUGUUAAAGUUUUCAAACCAAAAAUCCCCCCUCAAGUUCCAACAAAACCGAAAUCAUGGGCUAAAUCGACUUCGAAUUUAUUAAGCGAAGAUGCACCUCAAAAUAACUUAAAAUUCGUUCGGUGCGUUUCCCGGGAAGGAGUUUUAGGGGAAAGUUAUGAUUUUCACGUGACUAAUCCGUUUUUGGUCGAUAUGAAGGAUAAUUUUACGUUUCAUAGUGUUCAAGAAUUAGAAAUAAAUCAAAAGCCACCUCCUUCACCGAAAACUAAAAAGGUACCGAUGAGUGAACGAUUGAAAUUCUUUGAAAACGCGAUGGAAGAGAGUCAGAAACCGUCGCCGAAACCGGAAAAGGUUUUUAGUUAUUUAAGCGCGGAUGAAAUUGAAAAGAUGAAAGCGGAGGAGGAACGAAAAAUUGCGACUUUGAAACGAUCCGAAAUCGGGUCUUUGGGGAUUUUAGAUCAUUCUGAUGAAGAAAUUUAUGAACCACCUGCUCGGCCUGCGAGUACAAUCGGAGUAGUUCGUACCGCAAAAGCUGAACGUCGUUUACGCGAUCAACUCCGAGACGAAGGUCUUUUAACCGACGAUGACGAAAUAAAUGCGAAAUCGCCAGCCGAAGAAAGAGCAAUUCGUGCUGAAAAACGCGCCGCUUGGCGCCAAGCCCGUUUAAAAUCACUCGAAAACGACGCAAUCCAAGCUCAGAUGGUCAUCAAAUCAAUGGCCGACAUGGUAGUUAUGCCCGAAAAUACUCAAGAACAACAAGAAAUCGAUAACGAAAUCGAAGAAAAAACUCAAUUAAGACCGAAUUCGGGGGAUUUCCCGAAGUUGUCGGUUCGAACGGAACCCGGAAAUAAGACGGUUCGUGAAAGCGAAAAAGUGAUCGAUGAGAAAAUAACGAGAAGAACCGAGGAGUAUUUGGAUGAAGUGACGGGGGAGAAAAAAGUCAGGACGGUGGAGUACGUGGAGAAAUUGAUCGAGAGAGAGGUAUAGAGAGAGUGAAAAGCGCGUCUUGCAUGUCUACAACGCACUGUUCUUUUUAGCCUUGCUACGGUUGAAACGUUACAAGAAAAAAUUAUUUCUUUAGAAUUAACAGACCAAAUCGAAUCGAACCAAAUCGAAUUAUUAACUGAAAUCACAACGUUAGAUAUUUGCGUAAACGGAAAUAAUAACGUUAACGUCAAUAAUAUCGA
rnacentral:misc_RNA from 1 species